rnacentral:rRNA from 1 species
AGUGAACGCUGGCGGUAGGCCUAACACAUGCAAGUCGAACAGCAGCACAGUAAGAGCUUGCUCUUACGGGUGGCGAGUGGCGGACGGGUGAGGAAUACAUCGGAAUCUACUUUUUCGUGGGGGAUAACGUAGGGAAACUUACGCUAAUACCGCAUACGACCUACGGGUGAAAGCAGGGGAUCUUCGGACCUUGCGCGAUUGAAUGAGCCGAUGCCGGAUUAGCUAGUUGGCGGGGUAAAGGCCCACCAAGGCGACGAUCCGUAGCCGGUCUGAGAGGAUGAUCAGCCACACUGGAACUGAGACACGGUCCAGACUCCUACGGGAGGCAGCAGUGGGGAAUAUUGGACAAUGGGCGCAAGCCUGAUCCAGCCACACCGCGUGGGUGAAGAAGGCCUUCGGGUUGUAAAGCCCUUUUAUUAGGAAAGAAAAGCAGCAGGUUAAUACCCCGCUGUUCUGACGGUACCCAAAGAAUAAGCACCGGCUAACUUCGUG